UAAGGUCACGGCGAGACGAGCCGUUUCUCAUUACGAUAGGUGUCAAGUGGAAGUGCAGUGAUGCAUGCAGCCGAGGCAUCCUAACAGACCGAGAGAUUUGAAC
rnacentral:rRNA from 1 species